rnacentral:rRNA from 1 species
CUGCUGCCUUCCGUAGGAGUCUGGGCCGUGUCUCAGUCCCAAUGUGGCCGGCCACCCUCUCAGGUCGGCUACUGAUCGUCGCCUUGGUGGGCCUCUAUCCCGCCAACUAGCUAAUCAGACGCGGAUCCAUCCCAUACCACCGGAGUUUUUCACACUGGAAUAUGCAUUCCUGUGCGCUUAUGCGGUAUUAGCAGCCGUUUCCGGCUGUUAUCCCCGGUAUGGGCAGGUUAUCCACGCGUUACUCACCCG